rnacentral:tRNA from 1 species
GCCGGGGUGGCGGAAUCCGGUAACGCGUACGCCUGGAGAGCGUAUGCCCUCACGGGCUCAUGGGUUCAAAACCAAACCCAGGGG